GUUGACCUCGAAUCAGGUAGGACUACCCGCUGAACUUAAGCAUAU
rnacentral:rRNA from 4 species